rnacentral:tRNA from 1 species
GCCCAGGUGAUGGAAUUGGUAGACAUGCUAGACUCAAAAUCUGGUGACCGCAAGGUCGUGGGGGUUCAAGUCCCCCCCUGGGUACCA